CGGCUACUUUUUGAUCUUCCACGAGUCCUAAAAAGGGGAGAAGAGUCAACUGCCGCAGAAUGUACCACGCCCAUCCUCAUUUCUGCUUUGUUAGUAUGGGUUCGAUCUAACAUAUCGGUAUCAAGUUUCUUUGCUUACUUACGACACCAGAUUCCAUGGCAUCCCUUACAAUCCUUAAAAGAUGGGAUUCCUUCCCUCUUUCUAUUCUAGCCCUUGAAGUCCACCAGCAACGGAGUCGCGAAAAGAGCUUCAUUCCCAGACUUAUUCCUUGAUUUUGGAGGCUUUCUA
rnacentral:lncRNA from 1 species